GGGGCUGUGGCUGAGUGGUAGAGUGUUUACUUGGCGCUUAGAAGGUCCCAGGUUCAGUCCCUAGCAUCUCCA
rnacentral:tRNA from 1 species